rnacentral:tRNA from 1 species
CAGAAAGUAGUUUAUAUAAAAAUAUUAAUUUUGGAGAUUAAAGAAAAAAGUUUUUUUCUUUCUGA